rnacentral:lncRNA from 1 species
CUGACUAAUUUAAACUAUGGUUAAUUGAAGACUGAAAUAUUCGGGAAACUAUGACAGGAACAAUUUGCUACGGACAGUUUCCACCUGUACUCUCAAGACUUAGAAGCCAUAUGGAUAGAAUGAAAUAGGAAUUGGUGGUGUCUUGGAAUAUCUGCUUCAGGACGAUAAUGAAACUAAUGAUUUAGGGCAGUAGAAGAAGCCGUGGGAGGAACUUUCACAUUUGGCGAGGGGUUCCUGAGGACACUGAGAAAGGGAAAUAUAUCAUAUGGCAAUAUUCCAUAAAAUAAAUUACCUGGAGACAGUAUAAAAAUUUGCAAGGAUACAGACACAAGGCAUGUAAUUAU